UCAGGGGUGUACAGACUGGGUAAAGUUGAAAAACAGAUAGGACGUCAGCAGAGGUACACAGUAACAUGGGAGGAUGGCAAGUGCGGUGAACAGAUGUCCAUCCACAUCUAUGGAACCUACACCAAGACGAUCAAGUUCAAGGUCGACAGCUACAUCCUGGCACUUGCUGACCCUGACAACAACUAUUUUCCUUCCGGGUGAAGUGACAAGGGUCCACGAAGAUGGAGAUGUUCAAAGGCUACA
rnacentral:misc_RNA from 1 species